AUGGAUUGGGGAGCAACGUAGUUGUGUGUGUGUAAAAGUAGUGCCGAGAAAAGCCAUGGUCAUGAUGAAAGCAGAGUCCCGGUACCCGAAACCGACACAGGUGGGCAAGUAGAGUAUACUAAGGGGCGCGAGAUAACUCUCUCUAAGGAACUCGGCAAAAUGACCCCGUAACUUUGGGAGAAGGGGUGCCACCGAGAGGUGGUCGCAGUGAAGAGUCCCAGGCGACUGUUUAGCAAAAACAUAGGUCUCUGCAAACUCGUAAGAGGAGGUAUAGGGGCUGACGCCUGCCCAGUGCCGGAAGGUUAAAGAAGUUGGUCAGUCUUAGGAUAAAGCUAGCGACUGAAGCCCCGGUGAACGGCGGCCGUAACUAUAACGGUCCUAAGGUAGCGAAAUUUCUUGUCGGGUAAGUUCCGACCCGCAUGAAAGGCGUAACGAUCUGGGAGCUGUCUCGGAGAGAGACUCGGCGAAAUAGGAUUGUCUGUGAAGAUACGGACUACCUGCAUUUGGACAGAAAGACCCUAUGAAGCUUUACUGUAGCUUGGAAUUGUGUUCGGGCUUGGAGUGCGCAGGAUAGGUGGGAGGCGUAGAAGGUGUGCUUGUGGGCAAACUGGAGCCAACAGUGAGAUACCACUCUCUCGGAGCUAGAAUUCUAACUUAAUGUAAGGACAGUUUCAGGUGGGCAGUUUGACUGGGGCGGUCGCCUCCAAAAAGGUAACGGAGGCGUACAAAGGUUCCCUCAGACUGGUUGGAAAUCAGUCGGAGAGUGCAAAGGCAGAAGGGAGCUUGACUGCGAGACGGACAAGUCGAGCAGGGUGGAAACACGGUCUUAGUGAUCCGACGGUGCUGUGUGGAAGGGCCGUCGCUCAACGGAUAAAAGUUACACUAGGGAUAACAGGCUGAUCUCCCCCAAGAGUUCACAUCGACGGGGAGGUUUGGCACCCCGAUGUCGGCUCAUCGCAACCUGGGGCGGAAGUACGUCCCAAGGGUUGGGCUGUUCGCCCAUUAAAGCGGUACGUGAGCUGGGUUCAGAACGUCGUGAGACAGUUCGGUCCAUAUCCGAUGUAGGCGUAAGAAUAUUGAGAGGAGCCUUCCUUAGUACGAGAGGACCGGGAAGGACGCACCGCUGGUGUACCUGUUAUGAUGCCAAUUGUAAACGCAGGGUAGCUAAGUGCGGAGAGGAUAACCGCUGAAAGCAUCUAAGUGGGAAGCCCACCUCAAGAUGAGUAUUCUGGUGUCGGGCCACGGGAAGACGACCCGUUAAUAGGCAGGAGGUGGAAGUGCAGUAAUGUAUGAAGCCGAACUGUACUAAUAGACCGUCAGCUUGACCAU
rnacentral:rRNA from 1 species